AACGAACGCUGGCGGCAGGCUUAACACAUGCAAGUCGAGCGCCCCGCAAGGGGAGCGGCAGACGGGUGAGUAACGCGUGGGAAUCUACCCAUCUCUACGGAAUAACGCAUGGAAACGUGUGCUAAUACCGUAUACGUCCUUCGGGAGAAAGAUUUAUCGGAGAUGGAUGAGCCCGCGUUGGAUUAGCUAGUUGGUGGGGUAAAGGCCUACCAAGGCGACGAUCCAUAGCUGGUCUGAGAGGAUGAUCAGCCACACUGGGACUGAGACACGGCCCAGACUCCUACGGGAGGCAGCAGUGGGGAAUAUUGGACAAUGGGCGCAAGCCUGAUCCAGCCAUGCCGCGUGAGUGAUGAAGGCCCUAGGGUUGUAAAGCUCUUUCACCGGUGAAGAUAAUGACGGUAACCGGAGAAGAAGCCCCGGCUAACUUCGUGCCAGCAGCCGCCGUAA
rnacentral:rRNA from 1 species